CCCAGACUCCUACGGGAGGCAGCAGUGGGGGAUAUUGCACAAUGGGGGGAACCCUGAUGCAGCGACGCCGCGUGAGUGAAGAAGUAAUUCGUUAUGUAAAGCUCUAUCAGCAGGGAAGAAUAAAUGACGGUACCUGAGUAAGAAGCCCCGGCUAACUACGUGCCAGCAGCCGCGGUAAUACGUAGGGGGCAAGCGUUAUCCGGAUUCACUGGGUGUAAAGGGAGCGUAGACGGCGAGACAAGUCUGGAGUGAAAGGCCGGGGCCCAACCCCGGGACUGCUCUGGAAACUGCCUGGCUGGAGUACAGGAGAGGUAAGUGGAAUUCCUAGUGUAGCGGUGAAAUGCGUAGAUAUUAGGAGGAACACCAGUGGCGAAGGCGGCUUACUGGACUGUAACUGACGUUGAGGCUCGAAAGCGUGGGGAGCAAACAGGAUUAGAUACCCUAGUAC
rnacentral:rRNA from 1 species